AAAGGAAUUGACGGGGGCCCGCACAAGCGGUGGAACAUGUGGUUUAAUUCGACACUACGCGAGGAACCUUACCUAGGCUUGACAUGCUUUUGACAUCCGUAGAAAUACGGCUUUCCUGGCUUCGGUCAGGACAAUUGCACAGGUGCUGCAUGGCUGUCGUCAGCUCGUGUCGUGAGAUGUUGGGUUAAGUCCUCUAACGAGCGCAACCCUUGCUGUCAGUUGCUAGUUACGUGAGUAACGCACUCUGAUGGGACUGCCUGGGAAACCAGGAGGAAGGUGGGGAUGACGUCAAGUCCUCAUGGCCUUUAUGCCUAGGGCAACACACGUGUUACAAUGGUCGGUACAAAGGGUUGCAAGCUUGUAAAAGUAAGCUAAUCCCAAAAAGCCGAUCUAAGUUCAGAUUGAGGUCUGCAACUCGACCUCAUGAAGUUGAAAUCGCUAGUAAUCGCAUAUCAGAACGAUGCGGUGAAUACGUUCUCGGGCCUUGUACACACCGCCCGU
rnacentral:rRNA from 1 species